UACGUAGGGUGCAAGCGUUGUCCGGAAUCAUUGGGCGUAAAGCGCGCGUAGGUGGUCAUGUAAGUCCGCUGUGAAAGUCAAAGGCUCAACCUUUGAAAGCCGGUGGAUACUGCAUGACUAGAGUACGGAAGAGGCGAGUGGAAUUCCUGGUGUAGCGGUGGAAUGCGCAGAUAUCAGGAAGAACACCCGUGGCGAAGGCGGCUCUCUGGGACGGUACUGACGCUGAGACGCGAAAGCGUGGGGAGCGAACAGG
rnacentral:rRNA from 1 species